UACACGGUGGAUGCCCUGGCAGUCAGAGGCGAUGAAGGACGUGCUAAUCUGCGAUAAGCGUCGGUGAGGUGAUAUGAACCGUUAUAACCGGCGAUUUCCGAAUGGGGAAACCCAGUGUGUUUCGACACACUAUCAUUAACUGAAUCCAUAGGUUAAUGAGGCGAACCGGGGGAACUGAAACAUCUAAGUACCCCGAGGAAAAGAAAUCAACCGAGAUUCCCCCAGUAGCGGCGAGCGAACGGGGAGGAGCCCAGAGCCUGAAUCAGUGUGUGUGUUAGUGGAAGCGUCUGGAAAGGCGCGCGAUACAGGGUGACAGCCCCGUACACAAAAAUGCACAUAUUGUGAGCUCGAUGAGUAGGGCGGGACACGUGGUAUCCUGUCUGAAUAUGGGGGGACCAUCCUCCAAGGCUAAAUACUCCUGACUGACCGAUAGUGAACCAGUACCGUGAGGGAAAGGCGAAAAGAACCCCGGCGAGGGGAGUGAAAAAGAACCUGAAACCGUGUACGUACAAGCAGUGGGAGCCUCUUUAUGGGGUGACUGCGUACCUUUUGUAUAAUGGGUCAGCGACUUAUAUUCUGUAGCAAGGUUAACCGAAUAGGGGAGCCGAAGGGAAACCGAGUCUUAACUGGGCGUUAAGUUGCAGGGUAUAGACCCGAAACCCGGUGAUCUAGCCAUGGGCAGGUUGAAGGUUGGGUAACACUAACUGGAGGACCGAACCGACUAAUGUUGAAAAAUUAGCGGAUGACUUGUGGCUGGGGGUGAAAGGCCAAUCAAACCGGGAGAUAGCUGGUUCUCCCCGAAAGCUAUUUAGGUAGCGCCUCGUGAAUUCAUCUCCGGGGGUAGAGCACUGUUUCGGCAAGGGGGUCAUCCCGACUUACCAACCCGAUGCAAACUGCGAAUACCGGAGAAUGUUAUCACGGGAGACACACGGCGGGUGCUAACGUCCGUCGUGAAGAGGGAAACAACCCAGACCGCCAGCUAAGGUCCCAAAGUCAUGGUUAAGUGGGAAACGAUGUGGGAAGGCCCAGACAGCCAGGAUGUUGGCUUAGAAGCAGCCAUCAUUUAAAGAAAGCGUAAUAGCUCACUGGUCGAGUCGGCCUGCGCGGAAGAUGUAACGGGGCUAAACCAUGCACCGAAGCUGCGGCAGCGACACUAUGUGUUGUUGGGUAGGGGAGCGUUCUGUAAGCCUGUGAAGGUGGCCUGUGAGGGUUGCUGGAGGUAUCAGAAGUGCGAAUGCUGACAUAAGUAACGAUAAAGCGGGUGAAAAGCCCGCUCGCCGGAAGACCAAGGGUUCCUGUCCAACGUUAAUCGGGGCAGGGUGAGUCGACCCCUAAGGCGAGGCCGAAAGGCGUAGUCGAUGGGAAACAGGUUAAUAUUCCUGUACUUGGUGUUACUGCGAAGGGGGGACGGAGAAGGCUAUGUUGGCCGGGCGACGGUUGUCCCGGUUUAAGCGUGUAGGCUGGUUUUCCAGGCAAAUCCGGAAAACCAAGGCUGAGGCGUGAUGACGAGGCACUACGGUGCUGAAGCGACAAAUGCCCUGCUUCCAGGAAAAGCCUCUAAGCAUCAGGUAACAUCAAAUCGUACCCCAAACCGACACAGGUGGUCAGGUAGAGAAUACCAAGGCGCUUGAGAGAACUCGGGUGAAGGAACUAGGCAAAAUGGUGCCGUAACUUCGGGAGAAGGCACGCUGAUAUGUAGGUGAAGCGACUUGCUCGUGGAGCUGAAAUCAGUCGAAGAUACCAGCUGGCUGCAACUGUUUAUUAAAAACACAGCACUGUGCAAACACGAAAGUGGACGUAUACGGUGUGACGCCUGCCCGGUGCCGGAAGGUUAAUUGAUGGGGUUAGCGGUAACGCGAAGCUCUUGAUCGAAGCCCCGGUAAACGGCGGCCGUAACUAUAACGGUCCUAAGGUAGCGAAAUUCCUUGUCGGGUAAGUUCCGACCUGCACGAAUGGCGUAAUGAUGGCCAGGCUGUCUCCACCCGAGACUCAGUGAAAUUGAACUCGCUGUGAAGAUGCAGUGUACCCGCGGCAAGACGGAAAGACCCCGUGAACCUUUACUAUAGCUUGACACUGAACAUUGAGCCUUGAUGUGUAGGAUAGGUGGGAGGCUUUGAAGUGUGGACGCCAGUCUGCAUGGAGCCGACCUUGAAAUACCACCCUUUAAUGUUUGAUGUUCUAACGUUGGCCCGUAAUCCGGGUUGCGGACAGUGUCUGGUGGGUAGUUUGACUGGGGCGGUCUCCUCCUAAAGAGUAACGGAGGAGCACGAAGGUUGGCUAAUCCUGGUCGGACAUCAGGAGGUUAGUGCAAUGGCAUAAGCCAGCUUGACUGCGAGCGUGACGGCGCGAGCAGGUGCGAAAGCAGGUCAUAGUGAUCCGGUGGUUCUGAAUGGAAGGGCCAUCGCUCAACGGAUAAAAGGUACUCCGGGGAUAACAGGCUGAUACCGCCCAAGAGUUCAUAUCGACGGCGGUGUUUGGCACCUCGAUGUCGGCUCAUCACAUCCUGGGGCUGAAGUAGGUCCCAAGGGUAUGGCUGUUCGCCAUUUAAAGUGGUACGCGAGCUGGGUUUAGAACGUCGUGAGACAGUUCGGUCCCUAUCUGCCGUGGGCGCUGGAGAACUGAGGGGGGCUGCUCCUAGUACGAGAGGACCGGAGUGGACGCAUCACUGGUGUUCGGGUUGUCAUGCCAAUGGCACUGCCCGGUAGCUAAAUGCGGAAGAGAUAAGUGCUGAAAGCAUCUAAGCACGAAACUUGCCCCGAGAUGAGUUCUCCCUG
rnacentral:rRNA from 1 species